rnacentral:rRNA from 1 species
UGGCUCAGGAUGAACGCUGGCGGCGUGCUUAACACAUGCAAGUCGAACGAUGAAGCCUAGCUUGCUGGGUGGAUUAGUGGCGAACGGGUGAGUAACACGUGAGCAACCUGCCCCUGACUCUGGGAUAAGCGCUGGAAACGGCGUCUAAUACUGGAUACGAACAAGAAUCGCAUGGUUACUUGUUGGAAAGAUUUUUCGGUUGGGGAUGGGCUCGCGGCCUAUCAGCUUGUUGGUGAGGUAAUGGCUCACCAAGGCGUCGACGGGUAGCCGGCCUGAGAGGGUGACCGGCCACACUGGGACUGAGACACGGCCCAGACUCCUACGGGAGGCAGCAGUGGGGAAUAUUGCACAAUGGGCGCAAGCCUGAUGCAGCAACGCCGCGUGAGGGAUGACGGCCUUCGGGUUGUAAACCUCUUUUAGCAGGGAAGAAGCGAGAGUGACGGUACCUGCAGAAAAAGCACCGGCUAACUACGUGCCAGCAGCCGCGGUAAUACGUAGGGUGCAAGCGUUAUCCGGAAUUAUUGGGCGUAAAGAGCUCGUAGGCGGUUUGUCGCGUCUGCUGUGAAAUCUGGGGGCUCAACCCCCAGCCUGCAGUGGGUACGGGCAGACUAGAGUGCGGUAGGGGAGAUUGGAAUUCCUGGUGUAGCGGUGGAAUGCGCAGAUAUCAGGAGGAACACCGAUGGCGAAGGCAGAUCUCUGGGCCGUAACUGACGCUGAGGAGCGAAAGGGUGGGGAGCAAACAGGCUUUGAUACCCUGGUAGUCCACCCCGUAAACGUUGGGAACUAGUUGUGGGGUCCAUUCCACGGAUUCCGUGACGCAGCUAACGCAUUAAGUUCCCCGCCUGGGGAGUACGGCCGCAAGGCUAAAACUCAAAGGAAUUGACGGGGACCCGCACAAGCGGCGGAGCAUGCGGAUUAAUUCGAUGCAACGCGAAGAACCUUACCAAGGCUUGACAUAUACGAGAACGGGCCAGAAAUGGUCAACUCUUUGGACACUCGUAAACAGGUGGUGCAUGGUUGUCGUCAGCUCGUGUCGUGAGAUGUUGGGUUAAGUCCCGCAACGAGCGCAACCCUCGUUCUAUGUUGCCAGCACGUAAUGGUGGGAACUCAUGGGAUACUGCCGGGGUCAACUCGGAGGAAGGUGGGGAUGACGUCAAAUCAUCAUGCCCCUUAUGUCUUGGGCUUCACGCAUGCUACAAUGGCCGGUACAAUGGGCUGCAAUACCGUGAGGUGGAGCGAAUCCCAAAAAGCCGGUCCCAGUUCGGAUUGAGGU